AGCAGUUAACAAAUGUUUUCAUUUUCAGGGUGGAUUGCAAGAAGUGGCUGAGCAGUUAGAGCUGGAAAGGAUAGGACCACAACAUCAGGCAGGAUCUGAUUCUUUACUCACAGGAAUGGCCUUUUUCAAAAUGAGAGAAAUGUUCUUUGAAGAUCACAUUGACGAUGCCAAAUAUUGUGGCCACUUGUAUGGCCUUGGUUCGGGGUCAUCUUAUGUACAGAAUGGCACGGGAAAUGCUUAUGAAGAAGAAGCCAACAAGCAGUCAUGACACGAAAUGAAAGGCCAUCUUUUUGAGCUCCACAUGCUUGUACAUACGUUUUAUCUCUGGUUGAACCCCUUGGACAAUAAGGCUUUUUCCCCCCUUUCUCAGCACACUUUCUUUUCUGCCUUUCUAUGUACUAAACCUGACUGUUCCUAUCACAGAUUUUGAUCUUAAUAUUGAUAUGUAGAAUUUUAUGGGUUACUUUUGGAGUCAUAACUAGCCCAUUUGUAAAGAAGUGUGUGUAGGAUCAGUGUGGCAGAGAGAAGGGGAAAGCUAAAUCAUAAUGAAUAGUAUGGUAAACUUACCUAUAUUGGUCUUUGGUCUUAGGUUUUUUGUCUCUUUCCCCUCCCUUUUCCAAAUUAACUCAUGCUGAUUGUAACUAACUUCCCAUUCAUGUCUGUUCCUUCCAGUAUGCAGGCGUUUUAGCUAUUCAAGAUUGUGGACCAUCAAAUUUGCACUUUAGAGAGCGACUCUGACUCAAUCCUCUGUUUCAUUUGAAGUUUUUUUUUCUUCUGCCCUUAGCUAGGAAACAAGAAUCUUCCAAGUUCAGCAGCUUCACACUGUAUUUUUGGCAUCUUUUGGUAUUUCAACCCAUAGAAUAUGACAUUUGCUGCAUAACCUGCGUUCAUUCAAGCAAAACAAACUACUGAAACCAUAGUAACUGCUGUUGUUUUACUAAUGUUCUGCCAUCAGACACAUCCUGCACGUGCCAACUGCUGGUUGGCCUGCUGCUUUAGAUCCGCUCUGUGGGGAGGGAAAGAAGCUUGAGAAAACAGCUUUACACCCCUUCAGGAAAAGAACAGCUCUGACUUUACCAUCUUACCAUUAAGCUGAGAUUUGAAGGCUAUUGGAAUAGUAGGAAUUUUGUAAUGGUGCACUUCCCUUGAUUAACUUUUAUUCUAGUGACGUAUACUCCAAAUAUUUUUUUAUGAAGUCAUAUUUAUUAUGUACUUGGUUUGACAAUUUUUGGAAGUCAGUUUAGUUCAAGAUAAAACCCAAAGAUCUGAAAAAAAAAUAAAUACUAUUUAAGUGGAUUACUGAAUCAGGACAACUAAAUCGUGCUUUUUUGUAGUUGCUACAAAGACAGAUGUUACAGAUAUUUGUUGUAAAACAACAAAAUAUAGAUAACUCA